UACUGAUGAAUUCGAGUGUUCGACGAUAAAUUUGCCAGUAAUAAUGGAAGGAAAAAAAAGAAAAAUUGACGCGAUAAUUACUAUCGGAUUUUUCCGAUGAUAAACCUAAUUAAUGGAUCGUUGUGUUUUGGUCAUUUACUGAAUUUGAGUCGGGAACCUUCUCCCCCUCAUUUUGAAUUACAAUCUCUCUAUCUCUCUCUCUCUCUCUCAUUUCUCCCAUCUCCUACAGCCCCCUCCAGCAACCCCUUCUCCCACUCAUUUCGAAUUAGACUAUCUCUCCUCACCCUUUCGCUUCUCACUCUCUCUAACCCUCUCGCCUUUCCUAUCUCCGGUAGCAGUCCCUUCAUUCGGCAGCCCCCUCUCAGGCGAGCUUCAACGCAACUUCGACGGUGAGCGUCUUGCAUCAACGACAUUAGAAGGAAUAGCCGCAGUGACCGUCCUACAUUCACCUCCUACACCUCCAAGAAUGGCAGUGACGUCACGCUUAUCCAAAGCACCCCUUGUCAUUUUAGACACGACGACAGACAGAUGUGUCACGAAUCGACCUCAUGAUUGGGGGUAAAGGGAGGGUGUCUACUAGUACCUCCAGGACUUCUCAGUCGUCGCACUUUACGCCAACUAUCCCUAGGAUGUCACAGGCAAUAGGGGUAUAUGAUCAGCCAUUCAUCCUGGUCCUUAACCCCAACUACAUGGCUCCGUCUGCUGCGCCACCCCCACCACGAGGAAGUUGUCCGACAACUUCACUAGUGUGGACUCCUCAACCACCUCCAUCAGCUCAGCAGCCCACGACUUCGAUGGCGAUGACACCUCCAGCGAUAGACAUCGCGGUGCCGGAUUUGUCUCACGGAUCCCAGCCAGAUUUGCCUCUACCACCGCCUGUCGUAUGGAUGAUGAUUUGGCCUGAUGGUUUGACGGGUUGUGUACUAUUUUAAUGUGUUUUAAAUACAAUGUAGUUAGUUUACUUUAGUUAGAUUUAUUUUUCUAAUUUUAGUGGAUUUAGGUUGUUAAGAUAGGUUCGAUUUGUGUUAGUAGGUUUAAACUUCUGAAAGUGUUUGAGAAUUCCUGAUUAUUGAUGGAUAUUGCUGCUGAUUUUGUGUUGUAUAUUGCCAUAAUGGUUUGUUUGUGAA